UACGAACUGUGCGAACGUUAAUCGGAAUUACUGGGCGUAAAGCGCACGCAGGCGGUUUGUUAAGUCAGAUGUGAAAUCCCCGAGCUCAACUUGGGAACUGCGUUUGAAACUGGCAAGCUAGAGUCUUGUAGAGGGGGGUAGAAUUCCAGGUGUAGCGGUGAAAUGCGUAGGGAUCUGGAGGAAUACCGGUGGCGAAGGCGGCCCCCUGGACAAAGACUGACGCUCAGGUGCGAAAGCGUGGGGAGCAAACAGG
rnacentral:rRNA from 1 species